rnacentral:rRNA from 1 species
UACAGAGGUCCCGAGCGUUGUUCGGAUUCACUGGGCGUAAAGGGCGCGUAGGCGGUGGGGUAAGUCUGGUGUGAAAUCUCGGAGCUCAACUUCGAAAUUGCACUGGAUACUGCUCUGCUAGAGGGCUGGAGAGGAGAUCGGAAUUCACGGUGUAGCAGUGAAAUGCGCAGAUAUCGGGAGGAACACCGGUGGCGAAGGCGGUUCUCUGGGCCUGACCUGACGCUGAGGAGCGAAAGCCAGGGGAGCAAACGGG